rnacentral:rRNA from 1 species
CACGGGGGGAGCAAGCGUUGUUCGGAAUCAUUGGGCGUAAAGCGCGUGUAGGCGGCCAAGUAAGUGGGAUGUGAAAUCCCCCGGCUUACCCGGGGACCUGCAUCUCAUACUGCUUGGCUUGAGUAUGGGAGAGGAUGAGGGAAUUCCUGGUGUAGCGGUGAAAUGCGUAGAUAUCAGGAGGAACACCGGUGGCGAAGGCGCUCAUCUGGCCCAAUACUGACGCUGAGGAGCGAAAGCGUGGGGAGCGAACAGG